rnacentral:rRNA from 1 species
UACGAAGGGGGCUAGCGUUGCUCGGAAUCACUGGGCGUAAAGGGUGCGUAGGCGGGUCUUUAAGUCAGGGGUGAAAUCCUGGAGCUCAACUCCAGAACUGCCUUUGAUACUGAGGAUCUUGAGUUCGGGAGAGGUGAGUGGAACUGCGAGUGUAGAGGUGAAAUUCGUAGAUAUUGGAAGAACACCGGUGGCGAAGGCGGCUCUCUGGACCGACACUGACGCUGAGGCGCGAAAGCGUGGGGAGCAACAGG